rnacentral:sRNA from 1 species
UGUGUGUGGGAAGCAGAGAUGGGAAGAUUGAUGGGACUUGCUGGCUACCAAUCCAGCUCAGGUAGACUAUGUCUCAAAGAAAUAGGCAGGCAGUGACGGGGAACAGGAUACUCAUGUGGGGCAGCGGAUCGUGCCAGGAAAGGCUGAGUGGGUUCAGGGACCCCAACACCCAUCUGAGGAUACUAGGUGUUUCCCUGCUCCCUACAGACUCCUGGCCUGGAACACGUGACCACACUCCCCACAUAGGCAUGUGAGGGCCAGGUAGCACAAAACAGAGUUCGAAUGAGCUGAUGGGCCCUGGGGAUUUAAGCAAACUUUCUUUCCCAGACAUUCCGUCCUACGAAGGGCAUUGACCUCUGGCCCGCCCUGAGGACGUGGUAUGCACCCAUUUUCCAAGAUGGAACAUUGUGUUCAGCGGCGUGGGACCACAUCUGGCACCUACAAAGUGGGGCAUACCCAACUGACACAUACCCCAGCUGGCAACCACACAGACCUACAUCGAAACUCUGGUCCCAACUAAGACGAUGGUCUUACUCUUUAUCCGUGGCUGGUCUGGAACUCAUUAGCCUCAAACUGCCUUGAGCAAGAUACGCCUGCCUCUGUUUCCCAAGUGCUGGGAUUAAAGGUAUUCACCACCAUAUCCUUUUCACUAAUAUAAUUGUUACCAGACCUAGUAGUAUAGAUUUGUAUUCCCUGCUUGAAGCUUAGAGUAAUAGUUUAUCCAUCUGUAAUCUUAUCAUUAAACCACAAGUUUAAGACUAACCUGGGCUACAUAUCAAGUCCAGGAUAGCAAUAGUAAUAAUUUUUUUACAUGGGCAUGAGACAUCAAAGGUAGUGGGCUGCCCGGUAUGUGUAAGGCCUGAGAUUCAGUCCUAAGCACUGAGAAGGGGCAGGGGGAUGGCUCAAUAAAAUGCCAGGUACACGGGCUUGAAGAUCUAGCACUGCCCUACAUUGACAUAAUGCCCUGGCAUCGUCAUAAAAGCUCAGCACUGAUGGGAUGAAGAUAGACAGAUCCCUAGAGCUUACUGCUUAGCUAGCAUGGCUGAGUCGAUGAGCCCUAAGCUCAGAGCUAGGACUUAGAGCCAGUGAGACCACUUAGCAGGUAAAGGUGCUUGCUUCUAAGCCUAAUGACCUGUUUGAUUCUUGGAACUUGUGUGGUGAAAGGAGAGAGCUGGCCUCUGCAAGUUGUUGUCUGGUCUUCAAGCUUGUACACAAUACACACAAAGAAAUGUUUUACAAAAUUACCAGGAGAGUGACCGCCAUCUACUCUGUCCUCUGCAUGCAUGCAUACACCCAGAUAAGUGUUUACAUGCCCACGUGAACACAUAUAUAUAUACCACAGCACACACAUACACAUACAAAAAGUAAAAAUUUAUUGUAAUUAAUAGGCCAAUAUUGAUGCCUUGUUCUUGGUUAUAUAGAAUAUUUUUCUCUAAUAUUUGUUUUCUCUUCCAGGGUCCCACAAAGAUUACAACAUACCAAUUAAUUGUCCUGUCUAGUUACUUCUUGGCUGUGACAGAAUCACACCUUCCACAUUUGUGAUAACCUUUACACUGUUAAAAAGUCAGGUAUUUUGUCCUUUGAAACUAGAGCUUUGUAGCUUAGAGCCAUCUUGCUGUCUAGAGCAAGCCAGGUUAGUGGGGACUCACAGUCCUCUUGGGUGCUGGAAUUAUAGGCACUCCUCACUGCACCUGGCAGGUGAGUUAUUUUGAAAGGUGUUUUCCUGUUAGAGUAGUCAUAAGAUUAUGAUAAUAUUGACUGAAAGAUCAGUUUUCCACCUAUCAUAUUUUAAAAGAUUUAUUUAUUUUUUAUUUAAUUUUAUGUAACUACACUGAAUCUAUCUUCUCACACACUAGAAGAGAGCAUUGGGUCCCAUUACAGAUGGUUGUGAACCACCAUGUGGUUGCUGGGAUUUGAA